GGGGCUGAUUCUGGAUUCGACGGGAUUUGCGAAACCCAAGGUGCAUGCCGAGGGGCGGUUUGCCUCGUUAAAAGCCGCAAAAAAUAGUCGCAAACGACGAAAACUACGCUUUAGCAGCUUAAUAACCUGCUCUGAGCCCUCUCUCCCUAGCUUCCGCUCUUAAGACGG
rnacentral:tmRNA from 1 species